rnacentral:rRNA from 1 species
UUGGUACCUACCAGAAGAAGUCCCGGCAAACUCCGUGCCAGCAGCCGCGGUAAUACGGAGGGGGCAAGCGUUGUUCGGAAUUAUUGGGCGUAAAGGGCAUGUAGGCGGUUUGGUAAGUUAAAGGUGAAAUACCAGGGCUUAACCCUGGGGCUGCUUUUAAUACUGCAGGACUAGAGUCCGGAAGAGGAUAGCGGAAUUCCUAGUGUAGAGGUGAAAUUCGUAGAUAUUAGGAGGAACACCAGUGGCGAAGGCGGCUGUCUGGUCCGGUACUGACGCUGAGGUGCGAAAGCGUGGGAGCAAACAGGAUAGAUCAGCCAC